rnacentral:rRNA from 1 species
GACGAACGCUGGCGGCGUGCUUAACACAUGCAAGUCGAACGGAAAGGCCCUGCCUUUGUGGGGUGCUCGAGUGGCGAACGGGUGAGUAACACGUGAGUAACCUGUCCUUGACUUUGGGAUAACUUCAGGAAACUGGAGCUAAUCCCGGAUAGGAGCUCCUGCUUCUUGGUGGGGGUUGGUAAGUUUCGGUGGUUGGGGGUGGACUCGCGGCUUAUCAGCUUGUUGGUGGGGUAGUGGCUUACCAAGGCUUUGACGGGUAGCCGGCCUGAUAGGAUGACCGGCCACACUGGGACUGAGCUACGACCCAGACCACAACGGGAGGCAGCGGUGGGGAAGAUUGCAUAAUGGGCGGGAGCAUGAUGCAGCAACGCCGCGUGCGGGAUGACGGGCUUCGGGUUGUAAUCCGCUUUCGCCUGUGACGAGGCGUGAGUGACGGUACUGGGUAAAGAAGCACCGGCUAACUACGUG